rnacentral:rRNA from 1 species
AUACGGAGGGCGCGAGCGUUGUUCGGAAUCACUGGGCGUAAAGCGGGUGUAGGCGGCCUGUCAAGUCAGAUGUGAAAGCCCACGGCUCAACCGUGGAAGUGCAUCUGAAACUGGCAGGCUUGAGUACCGGAGAGCGAAGUGGAAUUCCUGGUGUAGGGGUGAAAUCCGUAGAUAUCAGGAGGAACACCGGUGGCGAAGGCGACUUCCUGGACGGAUACUGACGCUGAGACCCGAAAGCGUGGGGAGCAAACAGGAUUAGAAACCCUAGUAGUCC